AUGCAUCUGCUCCACGGGUCUGCUAUGAUCGGUGGCAGCUGCGGCGGCAGAGCUCUCCGGCGAGUCGACAGCUCCCCGAAGCCGUCCUUGUGCCGGAGCGACGCCAUGAAGAAGAAGAGGAGCAAGAGGUCCAGGCUCUCGGCCGCGCUGCGGGAGCUCAGGCUGGCGGCCAAGGCGAGGGACAAGGAGGGGCUCCUUCAGAUCCUCGUCACCGGACACCGCACUAGCCGCGGAGGAUCCGGCAACGGCGAGCGCACCGGCGGACCAUCGACGGAGCGCGGUGUAGCUGAUACGGGCGACGACCAGCGCGCGACACUGCGGUGGCAGGGACGCGGCGUUGAUGCAGCCGGGCGUGCCGAUGGUCCUCUUCUUGAGUUGGGGAGACCGACAGCAACCAGGGGAGCCAGCUGCGGCGGCCGUCGUUGCCCGAGUUGGGCGCUGGCAGUGGCGCUUGUGCUCGCGCUGGUUUGCGUGGUAGCGCUCGGGACGGCGCCGGCCAUCUGUUGCUGCACCUGCGCGGCCUGGUUGUGCGGCGGCUGCGGCGCGCAGGAGCAUGCAUCUGACCGGCGGCGGGGCGGCUCCUGCCGUGGCAGCGUUAGAGUAAUACAGCCACAAGCCGGUAGUACACUGUAUCAUGCAGAGGUCACCAGUGGGUGA
rnacentral:rRNA from 1 species